rnacentral:misc_RNA from 1 species
GAUGAAGAACGUAGCGAAAUGCGAUACUUGGUGUGAAUUGCAGAAUCCCGUGAACCAUCGAGUCUUUGAACGCAAGUUGCGCCCGAAGCCAUUAGGCCGAGGGCACGCCUGCCUGGGCGUCACACGUCGUUGCCCCCCCAUCUACUCCUUCGGGAUUGCGGGGGGCGGAUGAUGGCCUCCCGUGCGCCUCGCCGCGCGGUUGGCAUAAAUGCCAAGUCCUCGGCGACGCACGCCACGACAAUCGGUGGUUGCGAAACCUCGGUUGCCCGUUGUGUGCGGUCGUCGCGCAUCGAGGGCUCGAAAAAAUUGCCGGGCUCCGGCUCGACUUUCAACGCGACCCCAGGUCAGGCGGGGUUACCCGCUGAAUUUAAGCAUAUCAAUAAGCGGAGGA